GGGACGGAGCGAGCUCUGCCUCGGCUAAUGGUCAUUGGCCUGGGGCUUUGAAACCAUUGCCUGUCCUGCUAAUGACACGUCCAGUUCUCGUCUCCCAGCCGUGGACGCCGGGCUGCCAUUCCCGGGGCUUGGUGACUGGGACUGGGUCACUGUCAUAUGACAAAGGCUUUACUGCAGUUCAUCUUCCUCCCUGUGUACUUUCCAUUUACCUUCCUGGAAUCCUGCUACAUCACAGACGCUGGAAGUUCUGAUGUUCCAUUGUAAUCACAAUGGAAAGUCCUGACUUGACUGGCACCCUCAGGAAGACCCCAAGCCUCUAGCAGUACCUGGUAUCAUCUCCAGCAUGUUGUAGAUGUGGAGGAUUCACUGGGAUAUUGAGAAAUACCAGAGGCGAAUUGUUCCACUGUAGUAAGUCCAUCAGCAUUUAUACAGUAACUGCUGUUCAUAGAGCAAAGUUGGUGG
rnacentral:lncRNA from 1 species